rnacentral:lncRNA from 1 species
AAUUUUCAGUAAACAUACCAGGGUGGACGAGUGGGACCUUUACAGAAAGUUCAUAGAAACACAAAGGCAUGAAGAACACAGAGUGAAGAAAUGCACCACUAGAGAUAGAGGCCAUGACAAUGAAAGAAUUAAAGUGUCAAAGGAUUCCAGAGCAUGUCUAACCAAGAGCCCCUGAUCCAAGGUUGAAGAAACUGGAACCUCCUCUGAUCCCUUUUCCAGGCCAGGUGACUUUUGCUAACUGGAGCUUUGUUCUAAGAGGAACCUGGCAGCCAGCAAUUUCCACACAGGAGCUCAUCUCUAUGAAAACGACACAUCCAGUGUCUCACUGACAACUCAUUUUCUCCAACCUUCAUUCUAUGGAGAGGCGACAUUGUGUUCCAGCUGCCAUAUUGCAGCCACAACCCCUGAUGCACCAUCAAUUAUGAACGGCAAUAAUUAUGCAUGGGAAAGAAGCCACAGAUAAUGGGCUUCCAUUAGAUUAAGUAGUUAUAUGAAUAAAAAAAAUAAAACCUAUACUUCGGCUAAUUAA